rnacentral:rRNA from 1 species
GUCGAGAAUAAUUCACAAUGGGGGCAACCCUGAUGGUGCAACGCCGCGUGGAGGAUGACGGUCUUCGGAUUGUAAACUCCUGUCAUCCGGGAGCAAGACCUGACGGUGAAUAGCCGGCAGGGUUGAUAGUACCGGAAGAGGAAGGGACGGCUAACUUCGUGCCAGCAGCCGCGGUAAUACGAAGGUCCCGAGCGUUGUUCGGAAUCACUGGGCGUAAAGGGAGCGUAGGCGGCGUGGUAAGUCAGAUGUGAAAUCCCGGGGCUCAACCCCGGAACUGCAUCCGAUACUGCCGUGCUAGAGGAUUGGAGAGGUAGCUGGAAUUCACGGUGUAGCAGUGAAAUGCGUAGAUAUCGUGAGGAACACUCGUGGCGAAAGCGAGCUACUGGACAACUCCUGACGCUGAGGCUCGAAGGCCAGGGUAGCGAAAGGGAUUAGAAACCCCGGUAGUCC